rnacentral:rRNA from 1 species
UAAGGAAUAUUGCGCAAUGGGCGAAAGCCUGACGCAGCGACGCCGCGUGGGGGAUGAAGGUCUUCGGAUUGUAAACCCCUUUCGGGAGGGAAGAUGGAGCGAGCAAUCGUUCGGACGGUACCUCCAGAAGCAGCCACGGCCAACUUCGUGCCAGCAGCCGCGGUAAUACGAAGGUGGCAAGCGUUGUUCGGAUUCACUGGGCGUACAGGGUGUGUAGGCGGUUUGGUAAGCCUUCUGUUAAAGCUUCGGGCCCAACCCGGAAAGCGCAGAGGGUACUGCCAGGCUAGAGGGUGGGAGAGGAGCGCGGAAUUCCCGGUGUAGCGGUGAAAUGCGUAGAGAUCGGGAGGAAGGCCGGUGGCGAAGGCGGCGCUCUGGAACAUACCUGACGCUGAGACACGAAAGCGUGGGGAGCAAACAGGAUUAGAUACCCUGGUAGUCCACGCCCUAAACUAUGGAUAGCUAAGUGUCGGGGGUUCCCGCCGGUGCCGCAGCUAAA